rnacentral:rRNA from 1 species
GAUGAACGCUAGCUACAGGCUUAACACAUGCAAGUCGAGGGGAAACGAUGAGAGAGCUUGCUCUCUUAGGCGUCGACCGGCGCACGGGUGAGUAACGCGUAUCCAACCUACCCAUUACAGGGGGAUAACCUUGCGAAAGUAAGACUAAUACCCCAUGGCAUUUUAUGGUGGCAUCAUUAUAGGAUUAAAGAUUUAUUGGUAAUGGAUGGGGAUGCGUCUGAUUAGCUUGUUGGCGGGGUAACGGCCCACCAAGGCAACGAUCAGUAGGGGUUCUGAGAGGAAGGUCCCCCACAUUGGAACUGAGACACGGUCCAAACUCCUACGGGAGGCAGCAGUGAGGAAGAUUGGGCAAUGGGCGAGAGCUUGAACCAGCCAAGUAGCGUGCAAGGUGACGGCCCUAUGAGUUGUAAACUGCUUUUAUAGGGGAAUAAAGUGAGCUACGUGUAGUUUAUUGCAUGUACCCUAUGAAUAAGGACCGGCUAAUUCCGUG